CAGCACAGCUGCUACCCAAGUCAAACAGCCCAAGUCACUUUUCAUUCUCCAGCAAACAAGUAUGGAUAGUGUCGUGGUACGUUACAAAAGAAACUGUACAGAAGAUCAUCUCAACACAAAGGAUCCUGGGGGGAUAGGAAACCACGGACAAGGUGACAUGGAGGCGAUCAGUGCCAAGCGGAUUGGAUGCUGAGCACAGGGUGAAGAUGAUGAAGACCUAAUGAUGAUCCACUUCCACAUAAUAAACAGUAAUUAUCAUGCUGUAAAGUUAAUGAACUUAAUGUAUUGUGCAUGUGUGUUUGUGUGAAAAGCCAAUAACUACACAGUGAGAACUGUAGGAGAUGUUUUUCUAUCAUUACUGCCUCAGUAUUCAUUAUGUAGAACAUCAUGUGCAAGACAUGCAUGGAAGUAGACCGCAUCUUCUAAUAUAGGCAUACAGUCCUUGCCAUACAGCAUGCGUCUCUCUCGUAAUUGGAGAAACGACAUUAUCAACCUGUUAUUGUAGGUAAGUGUUUUUUUUUAAGAUACAAUGUUUCCAAUAUUGUAUUAUGAGGACUAAUACUGUAUGCCAUAAAAAUUUUAUAAUGAUUCAUUCAUUGUGUAUAGGGUAGGCU